GUGCCAGCAGCCGCGGUAAUACGGGGGGUGCAAGCGUUGUUCGGAAUCAUUGGGCGUAAAGGGCGUGUAGGCGGCUUGGUAAGUCAGAUGUGAAAGCCCUGGGCUUAACCCAGGAAGUGCAUUUGAAACUGUCAGGCUUGAGUAGGGGAGAGGAAGGUGGAAUUCCUGGUGUAGAGGUGAAAUUCGUAGAUAUCAGGAGGAACACCGGUGGCGAAGGCGACCUUCUGGCCCUAUACUGACGCUGAGACGCGAAAGCGUGGGUAGCAAACAGGAUUAGAUACCCUGGUAGUCCACGCCGUAAACGAUGUUCACUAGGUGUUGGGAGUAUUGACCCUCUCAGUGCCGAAGCUAACGCAUUAAGUGAACCGCCUGGGGAUUACGGCCGCAAGGCUAAA
rnacentral:rRNA from 1 species